rnacentral:snoRNA from 1 species
UCAUCCUACAAAGGCGUGUCUGUGGUUCCCUGUCCUUAGACACGUAAGAAUUGGAGGCAACAAAAUG